CCAGCGCAUCUCAGGUGGGCACUUUUGCCAUUAUAAGGGAACAACGGAGGCAUUCAUGCCUUCCUCUCACCAAAUGUAUUUGAAGAAAAGUUGCCAGCUCCUGUUUGAAGCACCCAUCUGUCAUGCAGAUAUGAACAAAACAAGUGGAAGAUUUCCUGGCUACUCCAGGAAGAAAAGAAUGAUGUAUGGAAAGCCAGACCAAGACAAUACUAGCAGUGAGUAUGAAAAAAGAGUGGGGAUAUAUGAAUGCAAUUUAAAAGGUAAUGGCUGCUAUCCAGAUCCCCAUAUGCUUC